rnacentral:rRNA from 1 species
UACGGGGGGGGCGAGCGUUGUCCGAAGUUACUGGGCGUAAAGGGUGCGUAGGUGGCGCCGUAAGUCAGGUGUGAAAUCUCGGGGCUUAACUCCGAAACUGCAUUUGAUACUGCGGUGCUUGAGGACUGGAGAGGAGACUGGAAUUUACGGUGUAGCAGUGAAAUGCGUAGAGAUCGUAAGGAAGACCAGUGGCGAAGGCGGGUCUCUGGACAGUUCCUGACACUGAGGCACGAAGGCCAGGGGAGCAAACGGG